UACGUAGGGGGCAAGCGUUGUCCGGAUUUACUGGGCUUAAAGAGUUCGUAGGCGGUUCGGUAAGUGAGGUGUGAAAGCCCUCGGCUCAACCGGGGAGGGCGGUGCCGAACUGGGCUUCUUGAGGGCGAUAGAGGAAGGUGGAAUUCCGGGUGUAGCGGUGAAAUGCGUAGAGAUCCGGAGGAACACCAGUGGCGAAGGCGGCCUUCUGGGUCGACCCUGACGCUGAGAGGCGAAAGCGUGGGGAGCGAACGGG
rnacentral:rRNA from 1 species